AGGGCUGGGCUCCUGCUGCCGGGAUGAGACAGCACUGUCCUGCUCCUGUCCCCCCAGCCCCUGCAGUGGCCUGGCCCUGGGUGCAGAUCCCAGCUGAGGAGGGAGCCGGGGCCACGCUCUUCACCCUCAGCCUCUUCCUUGGGUGAUGGGCCCCGCCUGGGGCCUGUGGUCCUGGGGCCAGGAUUCUGGGGUUACUCUGCCGCUCCUGGCUGUGUGGCUUGGGGCAGUUACCUGACCUCUCUGGGCCUCAGCUUUUGCUCCUCUGUAAAAUGGGGUAACAGGCCCCGCCUGGUGGGAGUGCUGUCCAGAGGGAGCUGGCUCCGGUCCAGGGGAUCCCCCGGGGUACAGGCACGGGGUUGGCCUUCGUGGUUGUGUUCCGGGUGAGCUGAUCUGUGAAGGCCCGUGCUCGGUCGUGUGCGAACCCUGGCCCAGUGUGCCAGCCCCUCAGCCCCCUGCCUCCUGAGCGCCCUGGGCGGGUCCUGGUCCCUGUGGGACCUGGUGCUCCCCUCCCUGUCUCCCGUCCUCCCUGGGCCUGGCUCCCAGACCUCUCAGCCGGCCAAAGCGCAUUGAGUCUGGGCUGGGGACAGAGCUGGGGACAGAGGGGAACCUGGCCUGGGCCUGAGGGGCAGGGACUGCCAGAGAGGGGCUGGAGCCUGUCCCGCCUCGGCCUCGCCUGCGGUCCCUCCUGGUGGCCAUGCAGGACUCUGAUCCAGUCACAUGAAGGUCUGUGAGUAAACCCUGUCCGUCGGCCUCGAUCCCAGUCCAGUUGUCUGUCCUGCGCAUGAGCUGCCCGGGCAGCCUUGAGCUGUCCCCCGGCCGGCUGGCAGGAGCCUCUAGGAACGCCACACGGUCCCAGGGGCUGACCUGCGUGGAGCGUCGCUGCCCUGCCACGCCGUCCUUCCAUGGUCUCCCUAACACUGGGGACACUGCAGCCCCCCACUUCCUAAAUGAGAAGCUGAGGUCACACAGAGGAAAAGGACCCGGGAUCCCGAGUCGGCCUGCCCGGGAGCCGCGCUGUGUUCUCUUGCUAUGUGACACCCCUGAGCCUUAGGAGCUGGCAGUCACUACGGAUCUCGCUCCCAGGGCAGCCCCUGGGCCCGCUCGGUGGGUCCUGGAGGGUCCUUUUCCAAUAGUCACUUGGGGAAUCCUCUGGUUCACUGCAGUCCCCAGCCUCCUGACCUGGCCUCUCUGGGCCCUGGAGUGGGCAAACCCCAGGUCACCGGUUUGAAGACAUUCAAGUGACUUGGUGGGGGGUGACAAUCAGCCCAGGGUGAUGGUGACCAGCAGAGUUUGGGGCGUCCAGCCGGAAGGCACGUGGGGGGCCACCUGGAGCAUGCGCUCUGUGGGGGGAGUGGUCCUGGAGGACUUCCCGGAGGAGGUGGCGCCUGGGCUGAGUUAGGAAAGCUCUGCUCCUGUGGCCUCCUCCGAAGCUGGCUCUGUCCUCUGCUCACCGACACCUGGACGCGGAGAUGAGGAAGGAGCGAGGGGGAGCCUUCCCCAGUCCACUCUGAACCCCCAUCCCGGGGGCCAGACUGAGGCUCUGGGUGGGCAGUGGUCUGAAGGACGCUCCAGGAGGACAGACGCUCAAGGUCCCGUCCUGGACGGCGGGCCCCAGGGCCUCCACUUCCCCAUCAGCACCGCACAGCGACCCGAAGGCAGCCCGAGUGACAGCCGAGGGAGGACAUGUGUCCUGAGGCCCCUCAGCCGCCCAUGGUGGCGCAGGAUGGUGGCUGGACCCCAGGGCAGCUCGUGUGGAGAGGGGGCUGCUGGGAGGGAGGCCGGAUGGGGAGUCGGUGAGGACCAGAGGACCCUCUGAGCACCCCGGGGCGAGGUCACGGGGAGGGGCCUUGAGGCCACCGCUCAGGUUCUGUUAGAGCCUUAGGAUUGGUGGCAGCGGGGCCUCUGCAUACCGCGGCCUUGGGGACAAGGACCCCAAGGUGUCACCUCCCAAGAUGCCGCCCUCCCGCUCUCAGGAAACUGC
rnacentral:lncRNA from 1 species